UUUUUUUUUCAAGAUUUCAUUUAUUUGGGACACCUGAGUAGCUCAGCAGUUGGGCGUCUGCCUUCGGCCCGGGGCAUGGUCCUGGAGUAUAAAAUUAUUUAAUUUUAUAAUAAAACUUGUAUUUAUUUAUUCAUGAGAGACACACACAGAGAGAGGCAGAGAGACACAGGCAGAGGGAGAAGCAGGCUUCUCGCAGGGAGCCCCAUGCUGGACUCAAUCCUGGGACCCCGGAUCAUGACCUGAGCCAAAGGCAGACCAUCAAUCACUGACUGAGCCACCCAGACGUCCCAAAUCUCAAGGUUUCAAUUCAGCACAAGCAACCCACAUUUUCCUCUGGGAAAUCGAAACUGAAAGCCUAAACUGUUUUCUGCCGGCAGAUGCUCCCCUCGAGAGGACUCUCUGGGUCCUUAUUAUUGGUCAGGAUGGCUCCUAUGCUAAUCAGGGGGUAGCCCCAGCCAAAGGUUUCCAGCGUCCUCCCCUAACUCCCGCCCAAACUCACUACAUUAGUGAGCAGAUCUACAUGGCACCUACGCUUUACCACUACUACUGGCCUGUGCCCAUAACUGACGAGUCAGAGUCAAUGUCAUCAAGUCAGAAGCUGAGCUGGCUGGAGUGGCUGGGCAUCUUGUGGAUCCCAGUGGUGAUGGGUCUGUCUGUGGCUCUGAUCAUCUUUGUUGUCAAGACCAACAGCAAAGCCUGCGGGAUGGCCUCCUAGUAGAGCAGGAGUGUCACAAUGUCACCAGCCUCCUGGAGCGCCAACUAACCCAAACCCGGCAAGCGUUACAGGGGACCAUGGACCAGGCUACCACCUGCAACAAGACUGUGGUGACCCUGUCAGCUUCCCUGGUGAAGGAGAAGGCCUGGGGUCAGGAGCAGCUCACCCGAGGAGAGAAACUUCAGGGAGAGAUCGAGACAUUGAAGCAGCAGCUGCAGGCCGCUUUGGAGGAGGUGAAGCAGCUAAGAGAAGGGAAGGAGGCCUCAAGCAAGGAAAGGGAAACCAGCUCCGUCAGCUCCUUGAAGGCACCCCCCGGCUCCGUGGUGGUCCCCGUGUACCUGCUCCUAGGCCUUAGGGCUCUGCUGGCCUGAGGUCCCAGGAGGCCUGCCGGUAAGAAGGCGGGUGGCCUGGGGUAGAAGAAAGCUGGGGACAGAAGGGGGGAGGGAGUCCGGGAUGGGCCAGGGUCUGGGGAGGUGGCCUGCCGACAGGGUAGUGGACAGGACACAGAGGGGAGGUGGCCUGCCGACAGGGUAGUGGACAGGACACAGAGAAGACGGGCUCCCGGUGCAUGGAGCCUGCUUCUCCCUCUGCCUGUCUCUGCCUCUCUUUCUCUCUCUGUGACUAUCAUAAAUAAAUAAAAAUUUAAAAAAAAAUUAAAAAAAAAA
rnacentral:lncRNA from 1 species